UCGGCAAGCUCAUUCAUCCACAGAGCCAAGUGUCAGCAGCACAGCGACGGACAUGUCUCUGGAGAGCCACAUUUUUUAAACGUAAACGUCUUCGAACGCCACGUCUUCCACACAGACGCGCCCGGGCCGUGGUGUUCUGUGGAAGAGCCGCCCUCCGGGGGCCCGAGAGCCGCCUGUGGCUCGCGCGCCGCGGUUUGCCGACCGCGGGGGCGUCCGGCCACCG